rnacentral:rRNA from 1 species
CGGACGGGUGAGUAAUGCCUAGGAAUCUGCCUGGUAGUGGGGGACAACGUUUCGAAAGUAACGCUAAUACCGCAUACGUCCUACGGGAGAAAGCAGGGGACCUUCGGGCCUUGCGCUAUCAGAUGAGCCUAGGUCGGAUUAGCUAGUUGGUGAGGUAAUGGCUCACCAAGGCGACGAUCCGUAACUGGUCUGAGAGGAUGAUCAGUCACACUGGAACUGAGACACGGUCCAGACUCCUACGGGAGGCAGCAGCA